rnacentral:rRNA from 1 species
ACACAUGCAAGUCGAGCGGUAAGGCCCUUCGGGGUACACGAGCGGCGAACGGGUGAGUAACACGUGGGUGAUCUGCCUUGCACUCUGGGAUAAGCCUGGGAAACUGGGUCUAAUACCGGAUAUGAGCCUGGACUGCAUGGUCUGGGUUGGAAAGGUUUACUGGUGCGAGAUGGGCCCGCGGCCUAUCAGCUUGUUGGUGGGGUAACGGCCUACCAAGGCGACGACGGGUAGCCGACCUGAGAGGGUGACCGGCCACACUGGGACUGAGACACGGCCCAGACUCCUACGGGAGGCAGCAGUGGGGAAUAUUGCACAAUGGGCGAAAGCCUGAUGCAGCGACGCCGCGUGAGGGAUGACGGCCUUCGGGUUGUAAACCUCUUUUGACAGGGACGAAGCGCAAGUGACGGUACCUGUAGAAGAAGCACCGGCCAACUACGUGCCAGCAGCCGCGGUAAUACGUAGGGUGCGAGCGUUGUCCGGAAUUACUGGGCGUAAAGAGCUUGUAGGCGGUUUGUCGCGUCGAUUGUGAAAACUUGCAGCUCAACUGCAAGCUUGCAGUCGAUACGGGCAGACUAGAGUACUUCAGGGGAGACUGGAAUUCCUGGUGUAGCGGUGAAAUGCGCAGAUAUCAGGAGGAACACCGGUGGCGAAGGCGGGUCUCUGGGAAGUAACUGACGCUGAGAAGCGAAAGCGUGGGUAGCGAACAGGAUUAGAUACCCUGGUAGUCCACGCCGUAAACGGUGGGUACUAGGUGUGGGUUUCCUUCCACGGGAUCCGUGCCGUAGCUAACGCAUUAAGUACCCCGCCUGGGGAGUACGGCCGCAAGGCUAAAACUCAAAGGAAUUGACGGGGGCCCGCACAAGCGGCGGAGCAUGUGGAUUAAUUCGAUGCAACGCGAAGAACCUUACCUGGGUUUGACAUACACCGGAAAGCUGUAGAGAUAUGGCCCCCCUUGUGGUCGGUGUACAGGUGGUGCAUGGCUGUCGUCAGCUCGUGUCGUGAGAUGUUGGGUUAAGUCCCGCAACGAGCGCAACCCUUAUCUUAUGUUGCCAGCGCGUAAUGGC